UACCUAUUAUUAUUUUAUGCUAUGGAUAAAUAUUAGAGCAUUUGUGGUGGUGAGAAAAGGCUUAAAAAUUAAGUUAAAACAAGUGGACCAAUAAAAAGGUGACAUGUGUCAAAAAUUUAAUAUUUUUAUAUUGCCAUUUAAAAACCAGCCCACACUCUUCCACUCAGCAUUUCAAGGCCGACCAGCACCUGCAGAAAAGAGAAGAAAAGAAAAGAAAAACCCUAGGGAGGAAAAACUAAGGAAAAUUUGUUGAAUUUUCAAGAAAUUGGUGACUAAAGGUGGUGAGCCCUCGGAUAAGGGCAAAGGUAUUGCACCCGAGGAUCAAGACUAGGAGUGUUGUAAAUUCCCGUCAAAGCUGGGUAGUAUUAUGUUAGCCACAUUAUGCUGUCAAAAUUUUAUUGAUUGGUGGGUUAUUUAAUUAGCCACUGCAG